GCCCUAAGGGACAGCAGAGCUCUCUCCCGUGGGCUCUGCUUGCGCUUCUCGUUCCGGUGGCGUACCGGCGUCGAUGGGAGAGCGCUCAGUGAUCGAUUUAUUGCCUGCUGGAUUGAUCUCUGCCUGCCGAUCCAGUGGGCAGUGUAAACAGGCCCUUGGCUCAUAGUCAGGUCGACACCAGCGUAGAUGCAGAAGGAUUCUUCUGUCAACCUAGCGUCCACCUCUCAGAGAAAUGAAGUGCAUCAACAGAAAGCCCCCUUCUUUUGAUGUAGGAAGCAUCUACACCGCAGCGCUACAGUGGCAUAGCUGAAAGGCCAUAACUGCACUCUUGUAGUGUAGACACACCCUGAGUUACAUGGGGUUUACUCUAACUGAGCAGGUUUCUUCCUCAGGCCGGUUAGCUGAGCCACACAGGGAAGAGUUAGGUUAAAAUGUGCUUUGCAAACUGGCCUUGGCCACCUGCCACUUUCCAGUGAUGAGAGCAGAUUUCGAAGAAGAGUUUCAAACGAGCAUCAGCAUCAGCCCAUGCUGGCAGCAACCAGGAGACAUCGGCUAAGAUGGUCGU